UACGUAGGGUGCGAGCGUUAAUCGGAAUUACUGGGCGUAAAGCGUGCGCAGGCGGUUUUGCAAGACAGGCGUGAAAAUCCCGGGCUCAACCUGGGAAUGGCGCUUGUGACUGCAAGGGUGGGGUGCGGCAGAGGGGGAUGGAAUUCCGCGUGUAGCAGUGAAAUGCGUAGAUAUGCGGAGGAACACCGAUGGCGAAGGCAAUCCCCUGGGCCUGCACUGACGCUCAUGCCCGAAAGCGUGGGGAGCAAACAGG
rnacentral:rRNA from 1 species